rnacentral:rRNA from 1 species
GAUGAACGCUGGCGGCGUGCCUAAUACAUGCAAGUCGAGCGGACGGACGCGAAGUUUGUUUUUCUGUUGUUAGCGGCGGACGGGUGAGUAACACGUGGAUAACCUCCCUAUCAGACUGGGAUAACUUCGGGAAACCGGAGCUAAUCCGGGAUAAUAUUUUGAACCGCAUGGUUCAAAAGUGAAAGACGGUCUUGCUGUAACUUAUAGAUGGAUACGCGCUGCAUUAGCUAGUUGGUAAGGUAACGGCUUACCAAGGCCGCGAUUCAUAGCCGACCUGAGAGGGGGAUAGGCCACACGGGAACGUAGACAGGGACCAUGCGACUACGAGAGGGAGCAGAAGGGAAUCGUCCGCAGUGGGCGAAAGCCUGACGGAGCAACGCCGCGUGAGUGAUGAAGGUCUUCGGAUCGUAAUACUCUGUUUUGAGUUAAAAACAUAUGUGUAAGGAACUGAGCACAUCUUGACGGUACCUAAUCAGAAAGCCACGGCUAACUACGUG